AGCCAUUCCUGGGCCGGGAAUUGCUUCCUUUUGUAAUUCCCUUUAUGGAAGGAAGAAAAGCAACUCCCCUCUGAGGUGUGGAAACCUAGCUUCCCGGGUACCCCACCACCUUGGACAGGUUCAGGGCCACUGAACAGCCUAGGUGAGGCUGGUCAGCAGAGGCUAAAGGCUCUGCAAACUCUCCCUUCCCUCUUGAAAUCACCGCUCUGCUCUGCCUCUCUCUGCUUCCUAACCCUGAAAGGUGAAAUCUGAGGUUGCAGCCGAGCAGUGGGUGUGAUCUGAACCCAAGGCAAGCUCGGGUCACUCUCGGGGUGCUCGGGCUUGCUGUGCUCCCCUGAGUGCAGGGAUCUGGGUGCAGCUGCGGUGCCUGGGGUUUCGCAGAGGUGGAACCUCGGUGCGCGCAGCCAGGGAACUGAGCCUCCCCCAACCAACCCCACAGCGAAACUGAACUCUGCACCGCCCGCGGCUCGCGCUGUGCCUGGUUGCCGGGAGGGUUGGGCGAGGGGGGAUCUCUCUGCAGACAAAGGGGUGCACGAGCCCCUAACGCCCCUCUUUCGCGACCGUGACGCCCUUCCCCAGUCCCAUACCCGGGAGCCACAGCAGCUGCCACCCCCAACUUCCACCACCCAGCCCCGGCGGCCUCGGCCUGUGCGCGCACUCGGGGGCUGGGGAUUGGUUCACACUCCCAUUCUGGGGCUGCGCCGGCGGGCGGGAGGUGCGCGGCGUUCAGUGUGUCUGUGUGUGUUUGUGUCUGUGUGUGUGUGCGCGCGUGCGCGCGUGUGUGUGCGCGCGUGUCUGUGUGUCUGUACCGCGCGCGGGCGGGCGCGUGUGUGUGUGCGCGCGGGGGCUCCAGUGCAGGAGCCGCUGGGUGUGCGUGCGUGUGUUAUGGGUUUGAUUCCAGAGCAGGUUGCACAUUGGUCCUGGGUGGCUCGCAGGCUCAGGUCGUGCUUGGGCGUCCUCCUCCUAAUCGUUUCCGAAGUAGCAGCAGGACGAGCACCGUUUGGGGAGUCCGGGGGGCGGGUAAGAGGGAGGAGGGGAAAGCCUGUCUUGGUCUUUGGGAUUAUUUUUCCCCUUCUUUCCCUCUCUCUCUCUUUCUUGAGGGUGUGUGUUACCCCCUCGAAGUGA
rnacentral:lncRNA from 1 species